rnacentral:rRNA from 1 species
GACGAACGCUGGCGGCGUGCCUAAUACAUGCAAGUCGAGCGGACGGAUGGGAGCUUGCUCCCAGACCGUCAGCGGCGGACGGGUGAGUAACACGUGGGCAACCUGCCUGUAAGACUGGGAUAACUCCGGGAAACCGGGGCUAAUACCGGAUAACUCUUUCCCUCACAUGAGGGAAAGCUGAAAGAUGGCAUCUCGCUAUCACUUACAGAUGGGCCCGCGGCGCAUUAGCUAGUUGGUGAGGUAACGGCUCACCAAGGCGACGAUGCGUAGCCGACCUGAGAGGGUGAUCGGCCACACUGGGACUGAGACACGGCCCAGACUCCUACGGGAGGCAGCAGUAGGAAAUCUUCCGCAAUGGACGAAAGUCUGACGGAGCAACGCCGCGUGAGUGAUGAAGGUUUUCGGAUCGUAAAACUCUGUUGUCAGGGAAGAACAAGUACCGGAGUAACUGCCGGUACCUUGACGGUACCUGACCAGAAAGCCACGGCUAACUACGUG